rnacentral:rRNA from 1 species
UACGGAAGGCAGCAGUGGGGAAUAUUGCACAAUGGGCGAAAGCCUGAUGCAGCUAUGCCGCGUGUAUGAAGAAGGCCUUAGGGUUGUAAAGUACUUUCAUCGGGGAGGAAAAAACAAAACUAAUAAUUUUAUUUCUUGACGUUACCCGAAAAAGAAGCACCGGCUAACUCCGUGCCAGCAGCCGCGGUAAUACGGAGGGUGCUAGCGUUAAUCAGAAUUACUGGGCGUAAAGAGCACGUAGGUGGUUUUUUUAAGUCAGAUGUGAAAUCCCUGGGCUUAACCUGGAACUGCAUUUUGAAACUGAAAUACUAGAGUAUCGUAGAGGGAGGUAGAAUUCUAGGUGUAGCGGUGAAAUGCGUAGAUAUCUGGAGGAAUACCUGUGGCGAAAGCGGCCUCCUAAACGAAUACUGACACUGAGGGUGCGAAAGCGUGGGGAGCAAACGAGGGAUUAGAUACC